UAUUGCAUUGGAGAUGCUCUCUCUCAUACCUCUCUGUCUGUCUCUCACUCUGACUCUCUUUCUGUCUCGCGCCUCUGCCCUCCUCUGGCUCUCUCUCUCUCGCUUUUGUAUCCAUCGUCGUCGGGUACAGGAGCAUCACCGCCAUCGCACACGAGCACCACCGUCAAUCAACCAUUGGAGCAUUACCCCAGGUAUGUCCUCUCUAUUUUGCCCUCUCUCUGUCUUUCAGUCUCUCUUCCCCUAAUUUUAGCCUCCAGGGUUUUCUUCUUCCAUUUGCAUACCUUCACACAAACCCAACCCCAAAUCGACCCACCCAUCGCCAUUGACGAAUGACUGUGAUUUUGGUUUUUUGUUUUUUGACGGUUUGAUGACAUUGAUUCAUGAUUUAUGAUUUAUGAUUUAUGAUAUAAAAAAGUUAAGAAGAUAAAGAAAAUAAUUUGUAUGCAUAUGUAUAUAAAAUUUGAAUUUGGGCAUUGAUUUCGACUGGAUAGAAGAGGUUUUCCAUAGGGAAAUUGUUGAGAUAGAGUUGAAUAAUAAAUCAAAGUUUAAGAAGAGCAGUCGGCAAAAAUUUCGACCUUAAAUUUUCAUUUUUAAUUUUCUUGAUUUCAUUUUACAGUUUGAAAGUUUGAGUUGUGUAUUCGUUUUCUGUUUUCAUUAAACACAUAUAUAAAGGACAGAAUCAAAGGAGGGACUGAAACUUGACAUUGCCUGCCCUUUUUUUUUUUCUUUUUCUGCAACAAUAUGUAUGAUUGAUCUGCAACAAUGUGUAUGACUGAAACUUGGUAUUUGUGGUUUUCUUUUAUUCGGAAAUUGGAAAAGAUGGCUUCAUUGGGCAUCCCAUUGCAGACAAAUCUUGUCAUAACAAUGUUCCAAAGAAAUCCAUUAGCAGGUCUGCUAUUGGGUUCAGUUUGAGGCAAAUAGUUUGUCAAAAUCAAGUGUUGUUAGUCAAAGAGUUUUUUUCCACUCCCCCUUGUUUACUUUAGGACUUCGUUUGUGAAAGUUUCUAAUAGAUUAUGAUUAGCUAGACAUGAGAUUAUGAGAUCUGCUGCUGAUAUUUGGGCUGCUGUUGCGCACUCUAGAAUUACCAUCAACUUAAACCACUGUCCAAAGCUCCAUCUGCAGUUGUCUCUGUACAUUUCUUGAUCAGGGACCUCUUAUUAGUGUUGAAUUGUAUUAAUUCUGUUGUUGUUGGGGAAUAUUGAACAUGAAUGAGACUCAACCCACUGACAGCCUGCUUUUACUCUUUAUCUGAUGUAGAGAACUAGUUCUUAUUAUGCUGAUGAAAUUUUGGAUCAUUUUGCAUAUCUCUGUUGCUUGGAACAAGAGUUGUGAUUUGUUGAUAGUGAAGAGAUUUGAGGGUUAUUUCUAGUCUCUACUUUUUGUUAUUUUGUGUAGCACAAAAUUUGCCUCAAUGGACUCUAUGUUGUAGGUAAUGAAUUUGGAGCAAUAUUGUAGAAUUGAGUUCCUCCAACCUCUGUUAUUUUAUGCAUUCAGAAAUAUGUUAUAUGUGACAGCUAAAGAUGAUCUCUUAAGUUUAUGUCCAUAUUUUCACAAUGAUUUGCUGGGGGAUCCUGUUUUUCAUUGUCAUCUGCAUGGACUGGACACAAUUGAGUUGUCAUGGAUUCAUCUUAUCUGAAGGUUUGACAUUUUGGUAAGCAUUGAUAUAAUAAGAUUGCCCAAGUUCUAAGCCUAUGUAGUCAUUAAUUUUUAAUAGCCUGAGAUUCUAUUAACUUGAAUUCUUAGAGUUGAACUCAAACCUACUGCUAUUACCAUUUGCAGGAUGCAUUGAGUGUUUUUAUUUUUUAUUUUUUAGAAAGGAUAAAAUUGCAUUAAUAACCGCAGAAAACAGAGAUGCCUCAGCUGGCACAUGUGAAUAACCUCACUCAACAACGUUACCAUAAACUAGACGUAAUAAAUCUGCUUUAAUUAUGACAAUUCAAACUAUUCUUCUGCAUUAAGGUGAGAUAAUGUGAAAAAUGGUUAAUUUUAGAAACACAUGUAACAUCUUGUCAAUUUUAGAAGGUUGUACGUUUGAAAAACACAUAACAAAAAAUACCUCAAGGUAAAAAACACAUAACAAAAAAUACCUCAAGCUAAGAACGAUGAUGCACAUUCGAUGUUUUUUAGAGUAACUGGCCAAACUUUUACAUUUCGCUAAACUUUCGUAUUACUGGCCAAACUUUUACAUUUCCCCAAUUGGCUUCUACAACAAAAGUUUUAGGAGGAAUUGUCUUCUUAGAGAGGUAUGUUUUAGAAGAGUAUAUAAAAGGCGGCUUGAAAUUUCUAAUUAGGUUGAGAAAGUUUAUCUUUACUCAAAACUAUUUAUGCAAUGAAGAGAGAAGAAGAGCAGUUGGACAAAAAAUUCACAAGUGCUUUUUUUGUUUUUUUGUUUUUCCUUCCAAAAGGCUUGCUAGAUUGUGAAAAGAUUACAGUUUAGUAUUGAAAAUAAACCCAAUGAUCUCUCUCUUUUACUAAUUUUUAGAUUCUGUUAAGAUAUCAUGAAGUUGGGUAAAAAUAAGGAAAUGGAAUGAAAAGCUAAGGGAAAUAGAGUCAAAUUGUAGCUUAUAUUUUCUUCACAUUUUCUUUUCUCUUUUCAAAUUCAUGAUGCAAAACAACAUUAAUUUUUUUUAGUUAUGCUCAUUUUCUGGUUGUUCUUUAACUUUGAUUGCAUUUGUUUGCAUGAACUUUAUAGCUUAGCCAGAGAGUAAUAAGAAUUUUCAAUAUGCACCAUAGAAAUUUAUGAUAACUUCUCUUUAAUUAUUUCAUAUCAACAAAUGUUAGUUUAUUGUUCUUGUUUUGUGAUUCCCUGAAUCUGCCUUAUUUGUUAGUUCUGUCCUAUUUAGCUAUGUAGUGUUAACAAUGCCAUUGUGUUUUUCAUUCUUAUUUAACUUUGAAAACUGUAAUGCUCAAUGAAAUUUAUACAGGGAAUCCUGAAGUCUUUUCAAAGAUUCUUGGAAAGCUCUUUCCAUUAUCACACUGAAGAGGGGUUCUUAGACUUUGCAGGUUAAAGUGAAGGAUUACAAAUUUAGACAUAGUUAGGAAAUGUCUACUUUUGACCAUCAAUUGUCAUGCACUCGUUCUUUUUUUUAAAAAAAAAAAAAAUUUAUUUAUUAUUAUGAAUACCAACGUGAUAUGUUGUUUCAUGUUUAUCUGUUUGAUUGUUGUAGUUGCUGUGUUGUUUAAUUGUGUCCUUCUAACAACCACUGCUGCAAGCUUAUAAAUUACUCUUAUGUAAUUAUGUGUUCAUUAUAUCAACACACUGUAUGUAAUUGUCUUUUAGAAUUAAGCAUGCUCUGUUUAUUGAUCCAUCUUGUUUUAAAUGAUUUGUUUGAUAUGAUUUCUUAAGUUUCUUUGUUGUUUUCCUUCUUUGGCAAUGGCUCCAUUUCAAUUCAGUUAAGUUCUAUAUCUCCGAUUAGUUCUAUAUCUGCCGCUGUCAUGUCUUUGAGGUAACCUCUCACUAACCUCUCAUAUCAGAGACGGAAAAAAGUGAAAACAUAGAAAACAGAAACACAAUCAAACAGCUUUCAAUAAACAGAAAACCGCGUAGUUUUACAUUACCUAGUUUGAAAUUGAAUGGGAAAAAAUAAUAAAAAUGUUGAAUAUGUGGUGGUGGUGGUGGUGGUUAUACAGUUACUCUACAAUAGCUUGGACAGCUUCACGCCACAAGGGAGUGAAAAAGGAUGUACAAUAUGGUUACAAAGCCACAACCCCAGCAGGAACAGUGUUCAACUUCUUCACAGCCUUAGGUGAUGUAGAUUUUGCCUAUGCUGGCCACAAUGUGGUGUUGGAGAUCCAAGCAACCAUCCCUUCCACCCCUGAAAAGCCCUCCAAGGGACCCGUGUGGAAAGGAGUGCUCUUAGCCUAUUUCGUUGUUGUUUUGUGCUAUUUCCUAGUUGCUCUCAUUGGGUAUCGGAUGUUUGAAAACCAAGUCAAAGACAACAUCCUCAUCUCACUUGAGAAACCGGCACGGCUCAUUGCUAUGGCUAACAUGUUUGUUGUUGUCCAUGUCAUCGGAAGCUAUCAGGUUCAAACAUUGGCCUAUGUGUUAAGAGAUCAAUAAGCUUAUUGAGUUUAGUAAUUAGUUCGUUAUAUAUACAAUGUGUUUUGCAUUUUUGUGUUUGUAGCUAUAUGCAAUGCUAGUAGGGGUGUAAUUUUGGCCCAGCUCAUGUCGGGCCUUGCAGGUUUCUGUCAAAAAUCGGGCCAGGCUGCGGGCUAGAAAAUUAGGCCCAAGCCCAAGGGUAUUCGGGUUUUGGUCGAGCUGAUGGGCCUGGGCUCGGACUUGGACCGGCCUAAACAAAUUUUUUUAUUUUUUUAUUUUUUCUACCAAAAUUUUAUUAUUUUUCACUAAAAAUAACACCGGGCCUCGGGCCGGGCCCACCCCGGGCCACGGGAAGGCUUCGGGCCCGCCUACGGACUACGGGCCAUUUUUACACUUCUAAAUGCCAGUGUUCGACAUGAUAGAAACAGUGUUGGUCAAGAAGCUAAAAUUCAAGCCCAGCACAAUGCUUCGCUUUAUUUCACACAAUAUAUACGUGGGUUAGUAAAUUAUCAAUGGCUUUCAAUACAAUGAGGUUCUGGAUUUUGAUGGUGGUAGAGAAUUGUUUUGAUAUUGUAUAUAUUUGAUACAUCAUAUUUCUUCUUCUGUCGAUUAGAUCUGUCAAAGAAGUUGAUCUCUGAGAUUGGAUCAAUUCAAUGAACUUCCAGGUUUGAAUUACACUUGGAAUUCUGUUGAUGAUUGUAUCACCUAUUGGAGGGCUAAGGAAUAUCAUACUCCAAGCCAGAGACUAUGAUUUCUUCUCUUGAUAGCCCAAGAACUAAUCAGAGAUAUGGAACUCAUUAUGUUAUCUCCUCUUUCAGUGCACCAUGUUAACCCAUUAAAGAUUGCUUUUGUGUGGGCUAUUGUGGAUAUUUAUUUUUGUGUAACGGAGAGCAUUUGUUAUGUAUAUGGAAGACAUUUAUUUUUCUACAACUCUCUGUUUUGGAAAUCCAGUGUUUUUAUAUGUAAUAUUUAAUUUAGAUGGAUUAUACUUGGUUGGUGUGGAUUUAUAUGAUAUUUGGAAUAUGAUGUUACAAGUUAAAGUUUUUGGAUA